GAUGAAGCAGAGCUUGCUCUGUGGAUUAGUGGCGAACGGGUGAGUAACACGUGAGUAACCUGCCCUUGACUCUGGGAUAAGCACUGGAAACGGUGUCUAAUACCGGAUAUGAGCUUCAGCCGCAUGGCUAGGAGCUGGAAAGAAUUUCGGUCAAGGAUGGACUCGCGGCCUAUCAGCUAGUUGGUGAGGUAAUGGCCCACCAAGGCGACGACGGGUAGCCGGCCUGAGAGGGUGACCGGCCACACUGGGACUGAGACACGGCCCAGACUCCUACGGGAGGCAGCAGUGGGGAAUAUUGCACAAUGGGCGCAAGCCUGAUGCAGCAACGCCGCGUGAGGGACGAAGGCCUUCGGGUUGUAAACCUCUUUUAGUAGGGAAGAAGCGAAAGUGACGGUACCUGCAGAAAAAGCACCGGCUAACUACGUGCCAGCAGCCGCGGUAAUACGUAGGGUGCAAGCGUUAUCCGGAAUUAUUGGGCGUAAAGAGCUCGUAGGCGGUUUGUCGCGUCUGCUGUGAAAACUGGGGGCUCAACCCCCAGCCUGCAGUGGGUACGGGCAGACUAGAGUGCGGUAGGGGAGAUUGGAAUUCCUGGUGUAGCGGUGGAAUGCGCAGAUAUCAGGAGGAACACCGAUGGCGAAGGCAGAUCUCUGGGCCGUAACUGACGCUGAGGAGCGAAAGCAUGGGGAGCGAACAGGAUUAGAUACCCUGGUAGUCCAUGCCGUAAACGUUGGGAACUAGAUGUAGGGUCCAUUCCACGGAUUCUGUGUCGCAGCUAACGCAUUAAGUUCCCCGCCUGGGGAGUACGGCCGCAAGGCUAAAACUCAAAGGAAUUGACGGGGGCCCGCACAAGCGGCGGAGCAUGCGGAUUAAUUCGAUGCAACGCGAAGAACCUUACCAAGGCUUGACAUAUACCGGAAACGGCUGGAAACAGUCGCCCCGCAAGGUCGGUAUACAGGUGGUGCA
rnacentral:rRNA from 1 species